rnacentral:rRNA from 4 species
UGCGGAAGGAUCAUUGUCG